CUAUUUAUCAAAAUGAUGUUUUUUAAAAAACUAUUUACUAAAAUAUUGUUCCUUGUUUAUUUUGUAUUUGUCUUUCUUUUUGGGUAAAUUACAUUUUUCGUCCUUUAUGUUUAUAUCGGUUUGCAAUGGAUGCCCUUUAAGUUCAACAAUUACAUUCACAGUCCUUUUUCCAUAAAACUCAUUACACCCUACGUCCUUUGAUCCUAGGUUGGUUAAAAAAUUUAGUUUAGUAUGGCACGUGCUUUGCACAUGAGUGCGUUUACGUCUUUUUACUCCAAUCAAUUUAAAUUAAAAAAAUUAAUAUACAUCUCCAGUCCUUUGUUUUUAACCCAUCUUCAUUCUUGAGACCCUAGACCAACAAAUCAGUUGAUCAUGUUUUCUAAAUGUGUUCUUGCAGUAAUAGAUCCUUCCACUAUUUACCACAUAUAACCAAAAAUAAUAAUUUUUUAUACAAAGUUAAAAAGAAAAGAAAAGAACGAGUGUGUUGCAAAAAAAUCUUGUACAUAAACCUAUAUAUCUACUAUUCACGAGUGCAGUGCUUCUGCAGUUAUGUUUAAGGUCUAGGAUGCGUGUUCAACUUUUAACCCCGUCCUCUUUCUCAACGGAUCUGCGAUUUCAAUGAUCUGAUUCAAACGCGAGAUUUGAUUCAAAUGAAGGCGUUCUUAUGGUUAUCGGUGAGGUGGAGCUUGGUAGCUGUCGGAUAUGAGGAACUGGUAAGAGUCACUUGAGGUGGUGGUACCAUGGUGGUUUUAAGCGGUGGUGGAGAUGGGAAGAUGGUGGUGGUGGUUCAUUGAAAUAUAGAUGGGAGAGACAAAACUGAGAUAGAGAGAUAGAGGAGGAAAGAGAACUAAGGAAACAAGUCUUGAGCCGAUGAUACACUACGGGGAACGGGAAAGUCUAUGAUAACGAUAGCCGCUUUUGGAGGGUUUGUCUUUUAUAUCCCAACUUUGUAUGGGUAUAUAGGGGACAAAACCUCACUAUGUUUUAUGUCAAAAACUAUCUUUUGUGUUGCUUAAUAUAACAAUGUUUUGGUUAAUGUUUGUAAACGUUAUGGAAACUAGAAAACUAUGUUGGAAACUUGAAAACUUUGUUUGAAAACAAUAUAUCUAUGGCAUCGUUGUGGUUUAUUACGUUUACUCAUUUGGAUGCAAUGAUUACCUUUCUUACAUCACACACAAUACGCUUCCGCUACUAGCAGGGUGUGACAAAUUGGUAUCAGAGCUCCGAUUGUAGUGAACCGGGGAAAAACUUUUAUAAAGUUUGGUCUACAAUCACCAAGGGCUCACAUGAAAACAAAGUUGAUAACAUUGCAGAAAUGAUUUCAAAAAUAUCACAAAAACGACAAAAGGUUUUCAUUGUGUCACGAUAACAUGAGGAUCUAUCACGCGAGCUCAAUCAUAAGUAACAUGAGAAACAAAAACAACAUGAGAUUUAGUGAUUAUAUAUAUAAUGUAUUAUUAUAUAUGUUGUACAGAAUAUUUUGCCCCGACGAAAGUACGUUCGACUACGAAUUCUAUUAUGACACUUGACUCACUCGAUGAGAAUAAUGACCUCACGUCUAUUACGAAGCUUAUGGUGGAUGUGGUUCCUGAGUGAGACCCUAAAGCAUUGAUCCCGUGGAAGAUGUUUGUUUUCCCUCGGAUGGGUAUAAGUCUGGCUUUGGUAGUGACGACGAGGCGGAGGUGGCGACCUUGGACAACAACUCUACUAGUAGGACGAGGUCCCUGAGGCUCAUACUAAUCAUGACUGAUAACACUCUCGUCCAGAAAAGGAAGAUGAAGUACUCAUCUUAAAAGUGCCCCUCCAGUUGCUAUUGUUGUGGAUUCUCUAUAUCUCUAUUUCUUCUAACGUUGUCCUUUUCAUGAGUAAUGACAACGGGCGUUAACAAGUGGACCAUCACGAAAGUCCCUCCUAUGUUGAAGGUAUAUAGACAAUAGUGUCCUCUCUUUGACUGAUCGUCUUCUUUGAACGAGAGAAUGCCAGAGUGUCCAUGCAAGACAAUUUAUUAUUACGGGGGCCCAUAUAAUAACAACUUGUAGUGUAUGGAAAUCCUGGUGGGCUCUGCGGGUCAAGCUAACGAUCACUAUCAAUACAAAAUUCCUAAAUUGUUCAAGUUUCUAUCUAGUAGAACACUAACCGGGAUGGUUACUAUAACACUCUACGAUGCAGGAAGACCACACGUAUUAUUCGCACCUAACAUUCGACCUAUAACAUGAGUCGUUUGAGACUAGUCAUCGAAUGCAAACAAAACUUGUUGGCCACUCAUGGAGAAUUUUUCUCAACAUUCUCGGAAUUCUUGUACAUGGGCUGGUUCUUUGGUGUCUAUGACACCUUACCUUAUCUUAGUCAUUGGAAAUGAUUACAUUUAACUCUGCCGUUUGACAUUUGUCUUAUUCCAAGGGAUGAUAUGGCAUGAGCCAUACUACAACUCCUUCAUUGCGUUAUUCGACAUCUAUGGAAAUUAUAACAAUUUUGUUGAAGCUCGUGGAGCUCAAGGGAUAACAACGUAUUCGUCACACGGGUUAGUGCGGCGAAGGAUUUUCCUACUUUGGACGGUCGAGGUCCAUGAGGGAGGGAAUACAUACUAUAAGGAUGGAGACGACCAUUUGGUUUCUCCUCCUCAACGAAUUACCCCUUUUCCCACUUAGACAUAUGACCAUUACACGCAAGAGGUACUACGCAUUUUGGGUUGCGGUUAUUCAUGUUAUCAUCACUCAAACAUGCAUGAACAAUGCGGUCUUGAGAUUUCCAUGACCAGUUACAUUCUUAAUUCUUAGGCGCAUGGUAGGUUAUAAUUGUCCAAAUACAAGUCUAGACCCUUCGAUACGAUGUAUCAAAAAUAACAUGGCGCCGAAAAGAAAAUCUACGCUAAAAAGGGUCAGUUAAUCAGCACACUACUAUUAAAGUCGAACUUGAGUUUUUAUGGAACAAUAUGAGGUUACGGAGAUUGCACAACAUGGGGUUGUUGAGUCGACACUAAUGAUGGUACUGAUGUUACCGGCAGCUCAAGUGGUUCAAAUUCCGAUGGGACGAGAACGAGUGGCAGUGCCAUACUUGGAGAUGCAAUCACACCGGAUUUUAAUUCUAAGGCAUCUCCGGAUUACAAGCCACGAGACCUCAUCAAUACGAGAGGUGCGGUAAGUUAUGUCCGCUAAAUAAAGAUAAUGAAGUCAGUUAACCGUGCUAGUAAAUGUACUCCUAAGUAAACGAUUUGGUAAACGAAUAGUCAUCUGUUGAGGGAGACGAUAACUUGGUGCAAUCUCCAAGUGCAAACUAUAGGGAGUAAUACAACAAAGAGGUUAUUGUGGGAAGAACUCAAGGAUCUUACGUGAGAAUAGUAUUGCUCGCUAGUGGUAAAUUCCAAGGUUGGGAACCGAACUCUAGAACUCGAUUAUGAUUAGAGCGAACGUAGCUGGUUACCCCUGACGCCUCUACGAUCUCUAAAAGAUUGUUGCAUACUAGAUAACACACGAAUCCAAACGCACGAAGCGCUAUAUUGGGGUUUAGCCUGAGAUACGAAUCUGACAUCAAGAAGCAUGCUAGUAACUUGCCAAAAUCCUAAAAGAGACAAGUGAAACCUUCAUCAUGAGGGCACUUGCAAAAGCACCAAGAGUAACAGUGUGGUGAGACUGGGCAUAAAACGGAAACUAAUGAGUUAGUUAUAUUCAAGAAUGAACGAGGAGGUUUUAAUUGUGGCAAAGAGAUCACUACAAGCAUGGAUGUUUAUUGAAGAAUCAAGCAAGUGAAUAAGUAAGUGUAUGGGUAGAACUAUGAAUACUCCCCAAAAAUCCCAAUGUUGCCAUGGGUACAUUCUACUCUGCAACCAGUGUGUAUCAAUUCCUUGAAUACCAACGUCGGCUUAGCUUAGUGCCUUUAGAUAAUAAGCAUAUAUAUACGAGUUAGAGUCAUGUAGGUUAUACAUGUUUCACUCUAGCAAGUUAGCUAAAGGGGAAUUAGCGGAGUCAUGUAAGAUCAUUAAGGCUCGUCGAUACGUUUCCUACCAACCGACCCGUUGCAUCCAUUUUGGUUAAUACCGGUGUCAGUAUUAGUUUCAUCCCCCUAGAAUUCGAAAUAUACUUGUCCAAGAGUCAAGUAAGCUAGACGUCCCCCACAUUCCAUAGAACAGGCCAAUGGUGAAUUAGAUGAGUCAGGAGAAGAUAUUAAAGGAUGCACACACGAACUUAGAGAACAAAUAUGUAACAUAGACCAUCCAUUCAAUUGGGUUGUUACGACGUAGUUUUUGACAUAGACUAGUUAUCUGAUAAUCGAGCCAAAGUCAUAUGUCACGAGAAGAUCAUUCGCAUCCCCCUGUCUGACGAGAGAACAUCUUUUAGUGCAUGGGGAGAAUCAAGACAUGCCCCUACGAAUUAUUAAUUGCAUCAAGGCUCGAAAGUGUCUGAGAAAAUGAUGCAUCACCUUUCUUGCCCAUGUGGUUGAAAAGAAAGCCGAGGAGCGUAAGGUGGAGGACAUACCUGUGGUAAGGGAAUAUCCCGAAGUUUUUCCAGAAGACUUGCCGGGGCUGCCUCCACAAUGACAAGUGGAAGUCCGUAACGAUCUAGUGCCAGGAGCUGCACCGGUGGCGGAAGCUCCAAAUCGACUGGCGCCCUCGGAGAUGCAGGAAUUAUCCACUCAGCUUGAGGAAUUACUUGACAAAGGAUUCAUUAGACCGAGUUCCUCACCUUGGGGAGCUCUGGUGCUAUUUGUCAAGAAGAAGGACGGAACCUUGCGGAUGUGCAUUGACUAUAGAGAACUAAACAAGUUAACUCUCAAGAAUCGGUAUUCUUUACUGAGGAUCGACGACUUGUUCGAUCAAUUACAAAGUUCCAGCUCGUAUUCCAAGAUUGAUCUAAGACCCGGAUAUCAUUAGCUGAGAAUUCAAGAGCAAAGCAUUCCUAAGUAAGCGUUUAGGAGUCGCUAUGGGCAUUACUAGUUCCUUAUUAUGCCUUUCGGCUUGAGAAACGCUCCGGCCGUGUUCAUGGGUUUAAUGAACCGGGUAUGUAAGCCAUAUCUCGACAAGUUCGUAAUCGUAUUCAUUGAUGACAUUUUGAUAUACUCACAGACAGAGGCGGAACACGAAUAACACCUGAGAACUAUUCUAGAGUUGCUUAAGAAAGAACAAUUGUAUGCCAAGUUCUCAAAAUGCGAAUUUUGGAUUCGCGAGGUGCAAUUCCUCGGUCAUGUGGUGAAUGAGAACAUAAUACAUGUUGACCCAGCUAAGAUAGAAUCCAAUAGGAACUGGAACGCUCCAAAGACCCCAACGGAAGUAAGACAAUUUCUGGGAUUAGCAGGAUACUAUCGAAGAUUCACUGAGAAUUUUUCAAAAAAUUUCUCAACCGCUAACCUCGCUCACUAAAAAGGAUAAAAAGUUCGAUUGGGUGAAAAGUAAGAAACGGCUUCUCAGUUGCUUAAAGAUAAACUAUGUCAAGCGCUAAUCUUAUCACUCCCAGACGGUACCGAUGACUUUGUGGUGUAUUGUGAUGCAUCGCAUCAAGACUUGGGUUGCGUGUUAAUGCAACAUGAAAAAGUCAUUGCGUAUGCGUCACGGCAGUUAAAAGUUCACGAAAAGAACUAUAUCACUCAUGACCUAGAGCAGGGCGGUGGUAUUUGCUUUAAAGAUUUGGCAUCAUUAUCUCUAUGGUACAAAGUGCACCAUAUUCACCGAUCAUAAAAGUCUUCAAUACAUAUUCGAUCAAAAGGAACUAAACAUGCGCCAAAGAUGAUGGGUAUAAUUGUUGAACGACUAUCAUCGUGAAAUCAAGUACCAUCCGGGCAAAGCAAACAUUGUAGUGGAUGCUUUGAGCCGGAAGGAACGAGUCAAAACAUUUCGGGUAUGAGCUUUGGAGUUGACAAUUCAAACGAAUUUCACCACUCGAGUGCACGAUGUACAACAGGAAGCUCUAAAGCCGGAAAACAUUAAGCAGAAUCCUUGCGAGGAUUAGAAAAAUAAAGGGAAGCGAGCAAAUAUGACAUUUUAUAUUUCAUGUGAAGGAUCUGGAUUGCAUAUUUAGACGGUCUAUGAGACUUGGUGAUGGAUAAAACACCCAAGCCAAAAUAUUCAAUACAUCCAGGAUCCAGAUAAAAUGUAUCAAGACUUAAAAGAAUACCAUUGGUGGCCUAAUAUCAAGGGAGAUAUUGCAAACUAUGCUGGGAAAUGCCUAACUUGUGCAAAGGUCAAGGCCGAAUACCAAAAGCCGUAUGGCUUAUUACAGUAACUCGAGAUUCCCAUUUGGAAAUGGGAACAAAUAUCACUGAAUUUCAUCAUAAAACUACCACAGACCUCUCGAGGUCAUGACAUGAUUUGGGUUAUCAUUGGUCGAUUAACCAAGUUAGCUCACUUCUUACCGAUUCGCGAGAAAGACAGUACCAAGGAGUUAGCUGAACUCUACCUUAGAAAGAUUGUGGCACGUCAUGGAGUGUAUGUUUCAAUAAUCUCUGAACGAGAUGGUCGCUUUAUGUCAAGGAAUUGACAAUCAAUUCAAGCAUCAUUUAGAUCUCAUUUAGAUCUAAGCACAACAUUUCAUCCUUAAACCGAUGGACAAAGUGAACGAACCAUCCAAACGUUGGAGGACAUGCUUCGUGCCUAUGUGAUGGAUUUGGGCGGAAACUAGGAUACUCAUUUACCUUUGGUAGAGUUCUCAUAUAAUGACAGUUAUCACACAAGCAUUAAAGCCGCCCCCAUUCGAAGGACUAUUCGGACGAAAGUGCCGAUCACCGCUGUGUUGGGCAGAAGUCGGAGACAAACAACUCAUUGGCCCUGAACUAGUCCAAGAGACUACUGAUAAGAUAUCGAAGAUAUGAGACCGUAUCAAAGUGGCUCGUGACAGACAAAAGAGCUACGCGGACAGAAGACCUAAACUAUUAUCCUUCAAGGGCGGAGACAAAGUCUUAUUGAAAAUCUCGCCUUGGAAAGGUGUAGCUAGACUCGGAAACGCGGAAAACUAAAACCGAAAUACAUUGGGCCUUUUCAAAUUCUAGCAAUGGCUGGUACGGUUGCUUAAAAACUAAAGUUGCCAGAAGAACUCUAUGCCAUACACAACACAUUUUAUGUGUCGGACCUCAAUAAAAAGUCCAACCAACGAAACCGUUAUCAUCCCAGUGAAUGAAAUUCACGUAGACGACGAACUCCAGUUUACCAGAGAACCUGUUGAGGUUAUGGACUGCAAAGUCCACACGACAAGGAGAAGUCGUAUUAAACUAGUAAAGAUCCGCUGGAACUACGUCACGGAACCAAGUAUACAUGGGAACGUGAAGAUCAAAUCAAGACAAAGUAUACCCACCUGUUUGAAAAGACUCCUGCAAAGGAUAACUCAACGUGAAUUUCGGGACACAAUUCUUUUUAACACGGGGGAAUGUGACAAAUGGCAAAUAACCGGUGAUUCCGUACAAACUAAUCACUAUUUUAUGUACAUAAUCUCAUGCAUUUAGCUUAAUUUAAUUAUGUGACUGUGUCGUAAAACAAAUAACAGUGUUAGGACAAGAAAACAAUGCUAAAACAUAUGUUGGUUUUUGUCGUAUUGCGAAACCAAUCAAAAAAUGUCCUAAAAGUGUUGGUAGAAAGUGUUGCACACACUAUUCACGGUCACACUAUUCAUGCCAGCAAAACCGUGAAAACAGAACAAAACAAUGAAAAACGACACAUGGAUAACAUAACCGAGUCCAUUUACAUAAGAAAACACUAAUGAGAAAACAUAUCUUGCAAAAAUCUAGGACUUUCCGGUACAACGCCCUAAAUACUAAAACGUCCGUUUCGCUAAAAGUAUGACAUUUUUAACUCGUCCGAAACUAUAAUUAAUCAUUUCUGGAACUUCGGAAUGAUGAUAAUUGAUGACAUAUAUGCUAAAACACUUUGGAAAUAUCAUUGUAGUGUCCAAAAUAACAAGCUUCCGGUACUAUUGAUGUAAAAUACAUCGGUAUUCGCGUCGGUUUUAGUAGUUAGUUAGUUAGUUUUAGUGUCGGUUUAGUUUAGAAUGUAUAUACUUUUGAUCUAUUUAUGU